UGGUGGUGAUUGCAGUGAUGAUGGUAGUUAUGGUGAUGGCGAUGAUGAUAGUGUAUCAUCACCAUAACUACCAUCAUCACCAUCAUUA